CUUUCGUGUGCGCUCUCUAUGACUUUCUGAGCCGUCUCCCUCUUAUUUCUUGCUCUUUCUUGCUCUUUCCGCUUUGCCGUUUCCCUUUUUGCGCCUCUCCUCGUCUUCUUCACCAGCCAGGAUAAGGUUACUGCCAGUGACGUGCUGAUUUAUUUAUGGAACAGCAUCAUCCAAGAGAGCCAGAUGAACAAACAGAUAAACAAAAUCCCAAAGGCUAAAAAUGUAUUACUGAUACAAACAGCUCACAAAGUUGAAGACAUUAAGAAACGAACACAGCAGAGUAUAGCAGACUUUCUACUCCCUAACCAUACCAGACACAUGCAGCUGCCACUGCUCUGAGUCUACAGUGGUGAAUUCAAGCCCUUGUGAGGUCAAGUCCUGGUCACUCUGCUAUGACUUUCAGAAAACAAAUUCCAAGAGGGGAAACUGGGACGUGUCCAACACAUGCAGCUCUUCCUGUGAGCCAGAGGAGAUCUUGGAGGAAGGAGCCAGCCUUUCAGGGGACUGUCAGCAUGAUACAGGGGCCAUGUGCACCAGCUGGCACAUGGUAUUGGGAAUUAUGCAGAGACACACGGCUGGCCUGGAGCCAGGUACAGUGCACAGCACUACUGGGGUCAGGCCUUAGUUACUGACAGAUACACCAUCAGCUUUUAAAUCUUUAUUUACUGUGCAAAAUCAGCUGAACAGGCUUUUCUCCCAGCCAACACCCUGUUCACUUUUCAUGCAGCUGCACUCACAUAGGGCUUUGUGAAAUGCCCCGUUCAACCAGGACUACCACCUACACACCUGUGGCUGUAAAGGGGGGUAUGCCUUGGGCACCAUGUCUCAAAAGAGUGGCACUGAUGGCCAGACCCAGUACACAUGACAACAACACUUAACUGGCUGUUUACUUAAAGAGAUUAGUACAUAAAACACAACACCCACAGCAAGUCAUUACCUAGGAAAGUACACAAUAUGUUAAAAAGCAAACAAAAAUCUUAAAAGGCAAAUAUCUGCAAGGAACCCCAUUACUGAGGUAAAUAUGGACGUUCUCAACAUGCUUCUAUAUGAGAAGAACCUGACCUCUAUGCAGGACUUUGAAGUUGUGGACCACACAUGUCCCCUAAAAUGUUAUUUUGUAUUGUUUAUUUUUGUAUAGCAUAUUAUAUUACAGCCCACAUCAAACUACACCACUUGUGAGUUUAUUCAAGUAUGGUGAAUAAACUAAAUAAACUUCUAUACAACUGGCCAACUGGAA